rnacentral:rRNA from 1 species
GGGUCCAGUUGUGCGGGCUGGACCUCUCGGGGUUACAGCCUUGCUGAAUUAUUCACCCUUGUCUUUUGCGUACUUCUUGUUUCCUUGGUGGGUUCGCCCACCACUAGGACAAACAUAAACCUUUUGUAAUUGCAAUCAGCGUCAGUAACAAAUUAAUAAUUACAACUUUCAACAACGGAUCUCUUGGUUCUGGCAUCGAUGAAGAACGCAGCGAAAUGCGAUAAGUAGUGUGAAUUGCAGAAUUCAGUGAAUCAUCGAAUCUUUGAACGCACAUUGCGCCCUUUGGUAUUCCAAAGGGCAUGCCUGUUCGAGCGUCAUUUGUACCCUCAAGCUUUGCUUGGUGUUGGGCGUCUUGUCUCUAGCUUUGCUGGAGACUCGCCUUAAAGUAAUUGGCAGCCGGCCUACUGGUUUCGGAGCGCAGCACAAGUCGCACUCUCUAUCAGCAAAGGUCUAGCAUCCAUUAAGCCUUUUUUUCAACUUUUGACCUCGGAUCAGGUAGGGAUACCCGCUGAACUUAAGCAUAUCAAAA